rnacentral:rRNA from 1 species
AUUGAACGCUGGCGGCAUGCCUUACACAUGCAAGUCGAACGGCAGCACGGGGCAACCUGGUGGCGAGUGGCGAACGGGUGAGCAAUGCAUCGGAACGUACCUUUCAGUGGGGGAUAACGUAGCGAAAGUUACGCUAAUACCGCAUAUUCUGUGCGCAGGAAAGCAGGGGAUCGCAAGACCUUGCGCUGAUUGAGCGGCCGAUAUCAGAUUAGCUAGUUGGUGAGGUAAAGGCUCACCAAGGCGACGAUCUGUAGCGGGUCUGAGAGGAUGAUCCGCCACACUGGAACUGAGACACGGUCCAGACUCCUACGGGAGGCAGCAGUGGGGAAUUUUGGACAAUGGGGGCAACCCUGAUCCAGCCAUGCCGCGUGAGUGAAGAAGGCCUUCGGGUUGUAAAGCUCUUUCGGCCGGGAAGAAAUCGCACGGGCUAAUACCCUGUGUGGAUGACGGUACCGGAAUAAGAAGCACCGGCUAACUACGUGCCAGCCGCCGCCGUAAAAC